CACUCCUCCUACCUUGCACUGUUGCGGUUUGAUCAAAAAGAAAGUUGAGAUGUCCGAGCCUUUUCGUUUAAGCAUCAAUCAUUUGUCAUUAAUCAGAGAUAUAUUAAAAGAUACCAACUUUGAUGAGACAAAAUGGUAUGGUAAAUACCAAAAUGGUAGACAAAUGGUGCGGUUUGAUCAAAAGAAAGUUGAGAUGUCUGAGCCUUUUCGCUUAAACGAGAAGGUGCGGUAUAAAAGGCGGGGCCCUGGGCAUGGUGGCUUCCAUUUUAUUCAAGUGUAAAAAUGUCGGUUCUAGAUGAUGUUGCUUCUUCAAGGAAAAACGCAGGAAGAAAGGGGUUUUGGUACCAAAUGGACUUCCAUUUUACUCUCAAAGAAGACAAGGACCAGUUCUAGUUAGGCUUGAUCGAGUUAAGGGGUCUUUAGGCACUAAAAGAAGGCGCUGGAACUGCUGUCUCAUUUACUCGCCGAUUUAGUUGAAAAAGAGAAUCAUUCUGAGGCUCUAUCACAUGAUACUAGUAGUUCUUCUGCUAUGCUCAAUACUUCAGGUAUAGGUGAUGGGGACCCUUGUAAAAAUUCCCAGCAAGAUCUUACAAGAUAAUCAUUGAUAUUUUAGGAUGUUACAAGGAAUUGCAAGAUUAUAAUUCUUGUGUAAUCUUGCCUGGCAAAAUCUUGUGAAAUCUUAACCGGGAUUUUUCAUGAUUUUUAAGCAUUGGGGAAGUUGUGUGAUCUCAUAAGAUCACAUUUCAAAAGAAAACAUAAGAUCUUGUGUUUAUUGUAAAUCAUGUAAGAUCAUGCAAUAUCACAUUAUUAUUAUAUUACAGUAAGAUCUCACAAGAUCAUGUGUACAUUUAACUUAAGUGAUCUUGUGUGACUUUGUAAGAAAUAUUGUAUCAUUUCAUAUGCAAGAAAAGACAAGAUCUUGUGUUUAUGUAAAUCAUGUAAGAUCAUGCAAUAUCUCGUUAUUAUUGUUCUACAGUAAGAUCUCACAAGAUCAUGUGUACAUUUAACUUAAGUGAUCUUACAUGACUUUGUAAGAAAUAUUGUAUCAUUUCAUAUGCAAGAAAAGACAAGAUCUUGUGUUUAUGUAAAUCAUGUAAGAUCAUGCAAUAUCUCGUUAUUAUUGUUCUACAGUAAGAUCUCACAAGAUCAUGUGUACAUUUAACUUAAGUG